AAAACCCAAUAGGAGACAAAGACAAUAAAGCGGAGGGUUAAAAUGGCUGGGUGCUUGGCACUCUGCCAAGAGCACACCUGGUGUUUUGGAAACACCCUUUAUAUACCAUUUCUAUAGCACCAACUUGAUGCAUAUCCAUAGACUUUAUGCAUAUUCAAACUUUUCCAUUGACUAGUUUACAUCUUCCAGGCCACUCCUUGGAUCCGCCUUUUUAGAGCAUGCACAUUUCUUGGGUUGCGGUUUUAAUUCCCUCCUUAUCAUCUUUUAAUCUGGGCUUUGGCUCCUGCUUUCCACAGGUGGUGAGUGUUAAUAGCAGCCAGGUCUCCAUCAUCUGUUCACUGGAGGUUAUCCUAACCAGCAGGCAGUUCAAACAUACUAUAUUGACUAUUACCACUUAUGCCUUAAUUUUUGCUAAUAGCCGGAGAGAAAGAAACUACAUUCACACAGCAAAGCCAUUCUAACAUUAUACAUAUAACAUUCAUCUUAGUACUUGUGAAAAGCCAACAUUAUAGUAUGUAUUUAUAACAGUAUGAACUAGAUAAUGGAGAAAUAUGGCCUAAAUUUGGGAGUUUAGACUGAAAAUUAACAUCAAACUUAAUAUCCUUAAAUGCAUAUGCAAGGACAGAUAUUUUGAAGAGUUAAGAGUAUGUUCGACUUUUUAUGGUAUUAGCAUGCAAGCAGAGCCUAGAUAAGCAGAGAGAACUUAUACUGGUUUUUAAAAGUAAAAAGAAAGAGCUGACUUUCAGUAGCAAAUACAGAAAUCCAGAGGAGGCAGGGGUAAACCUAAUUGCACCUGCCAUGAAGGCAGGGCUGCUCACGGCCAUGCUCACAGUGGGCGCGGGCUCAGGCCAGGGCGUGGGCUCUCCUCCACCAGCGCCGCCCUUGCCACCCGCAGCAUUGCCGCAAAAGGGGGACGGGGGGAGACGCGGGGCCCUGGUCAGUGAAGGAGGAGAAAGGAAAAAGCUGGUGAAAUUCACAUUGAAUAGUGUGGGCCAGUGAUAUCCCAGGAAGAUCCAAAUGGGCGGAACCAGUUUCAAGAACAGUCCCACCAUAUUUGGAAAUCAGCUAGCAAAGGAAUUAGAAGACUGAAAAGACAGGAGAAAGAAGGAGUUGUUCUUCAGUACAUAGAUGACAUCCUGAUUGCAGCCAAGACCAGAGAUGACUGCAUAUGACUCAUUAAACUUUUUGGGGCUGAGUGGGUACAGAGUUUCUAAAGACAAAGUACAGAUUGCUAAAGAAGCAGUAGUCUAUUUGGGGCUUGAGAUCUUCUGUGGACAUUGACACCUCAGUAAGGAAUGGAAAGAAGCCAUCUGUCGACUUCCAGAGCCCCAUACUGUAAGAGAGAUGCAAGCUUUCCUGGGAGUGGUAGGUUGGUGUAGUUUGUGGAUAGCAAAUUAUGGACUUCUAGUAAAACCCCUAUAUGGGGCAUUAAAAGCAGCCAAGAGAGGAAUUCUCCCAUGGACUGAACACACUGAGGUAGCCUUCAAACAGCUGAAACACUCUAAUGUCAGCUCCAGCACUGUGACUGCCAGACCUAACCACACCUUUUGAACUCUUUACAUAUGAGAGACUGAAUAUGGCUUUGAGGGUACUAGCACAGCACCUCAGGAACCAAUGGAGGGCUGUAGCCUACUUUUCUAAACAGCUAGACAAUGUCACCCAAGGCUGGCUAGGGUGCCUGAAGACUGUGGCAGCCACUAUCAUCUUGAUCCAGGAAGCCCAAAAACGCACCCUUGGGCAACACAUUGUAGUGUAUGUACCCUGUGCAGUAGCAGCUGUACUUCAACAAAAGGGGGAGCAUUGGUUAUCUGGUAACCAGAUGCUUAAAUAUCAAGCACUGUUAUUAGAACAGGAUGAUGUUCACUCUAAAAUAUGACCAAGCAGACUACAAGCUUAUUAAGUUUCUUAAGGCUGAGAUCACAGAAAGUGGAUGGGCUGUUACACCAGCAAGUCAGAUUGUAGUCCCAUCCCUGAUCCUUUGGAAGAUAGCCUAGAGGGAACAUGAAAACACACAUUUUGGGGCUGAAAAUCUUCUAAAACACCUAAUAAAGGUAGUUAUAGGAAAAGGAAUGACUGACAUUGCACAAUCAGUAAUGAGCAAAUGUGAAAUCUGUUGUAAGAACAACCCUGAGACGAGGAAAAGAGCUGUUUUAGGAGUAACAAAAGUAGGGGAUCUUUCUGGAGAUUAUUGCCAAAUAGAUUUUGCAGAGUUACCAUGCAAAGAGGGAUACCAAUACAUAGUAGUGUUAGUUGACACAUUCAGUGGAUGGCUGGAAGCUUACCUCUGUUGCACAAAUACUGCCAAGAAAGUGGUAAAAGUUUUGCUCAAUCAUAUAAUUCCAGGGUUCAGAGUUCCCUUGGGGAUGUCAUAAGAUAGGGGACCACACUUUGUUGCAACAGUAGUUAAAAAAAAUCAGCCAAAUCUUGGGAAUUACUUGGGGUCUCCAUAUAUUGUAUAGACCCCAAGUGAGUGGUAAAGUUGAAUGGGACUCUUAAAACACACAUUAGUAAAAUUUGUCAAAAAACAUCCAUGACAUGGGUUCAAGCCUUGCCUAUAGUUUUACUAAGAAUUUGCAUUCAACCAAGGCAAAGGGAUAAUAUCAGUCCCUAUGAAAUACUAUAUGGUAGACAAUAUCAGAUUCCACAUAUUCCAGGUGAAGUUCAUAUGAAAGGGAAACUUGAUUUACAGAAUUAUUUAAUGGCUUUAAGUUCCACUUUGCAGAAGCUCCAGACAUACAUCAUGCCAUCCAGACCCAUAGGAAAGACACACCUGCACAUCCAUUCCAGCCUGAAGACUGGGUCUAAAUUUUAAGUGGUGGGACAGUGAUAUUCUGCAAGCCAAGUGGAAAGGACCAUUUAAAGUCCUGCUGACAACCUUCACUGCAGUCAAAGCUGCUGACAAAGGACCCUGGAUUCACUACUCCAGAAUUAAGAAAGCUUCUGCUCCUGAAACAAUUGUAACAAUGAAGACUGAUGCAAAUGAUAAUAUAUUUUAAAUGGUUCCUCUUCUGAGUCUAAUUACUAUUCUUUUUAUAUAAUACUUAAUUGUGUAAGAUAUUGUUGUUAGAUGUUUAUUAAGUUUAUGUUUAUCAUUAAGUAUGCAUUUACUAUUAGAUAUUUAUCUAGUGUUAGAUUUAUUAUGGUUAGACACUUAUCUGUCUAACCAAAAUACUUAUUGCCAGUAAAUAUAUAGAAUAGAGACUUGACAAGGUAGAGGCGUUGUCGAGCCUCUAAAGCGGGUUUCGGAAACUGAUGCCUUAAAUUUCCGGUUUUUCUGCUCUUUGCUGUGCGGCUUUUUAUUCAGGGUUACUAGGAUCUUUUCACAGGGUGAUGAAGACACAACAACCCUAUUCUGGUUGGGGAUUCAACUUUUCCAAACUUCAGGCUCAAAGUAUAAACAGUGUGAAAAAGGAGGGUGGGCAAGGGAGACUCCUGUAUGCAAAUGGACCAAAACAUAUAAAAAUAUGAGAUCUUGUGACUAGGCUCUCAUUUUGCUUCCAUCUUGGAGCCAUCCAGGCAGAGCCUCAAUUGUAGCACUGGUACUGCCUUUGGAGGCCUCAGUAAAUAUCCUUUAUUCCUCUUAACUCUGUCUAGCCUCUGUUCCAGCUCCUCGAGGUAUUAGUUACCCGGGGAAAAGAGGAACAAAAGAGGUUGACUGCUGUGAGGAAAGCAGAUGAAAGGCAACACUAGAGGCAGCCUCAUCCUUAUGCAGUGCGUGCCGCACUGCCAUGUUUCCCAUCACUUGUAUAUGUGGAAAGAGGUUGGAACUGGAAUUAGGCACUGACUCGGAAGCCUAACAAGGUUUGAUAAACUGUUGUCAAUAUUUUCUGUGAUCUGGUCAUUUUUUUCAGUAAAUUGAAUGACCUUAGCUUUAUGCAUUUUUAAUUACUGAUUUUGCAAUUUUUGGCAGAUGGCAGAAGAAACAAUGUUAGGAGUGCCUUUAUUCUCUUGUAGUGCACCUUAAUGAGCAUAUUUUGUUUUGUGUGGAAACUCAGAGAAGUUAUGGCAAAGCCCAGGGUUCAUAGGAUUCUGGAAUGUGUAAAUACUGUUCUAAAUUAUACUGGUGGUAAAUGUAUUCCAUAAAAACUUCUAAAUUCCUUGUGGAAGAAGAACUACUGUCAGGUUUUCUGUGGAAUGGGUUAGUUUGUACGAGGUUAGUUAUACUGUUUAGAAACAAUGAUUUAUUGUAUAUUAUAAAACAAGGGAAGGAAGAUGAAAAGAUAAUUUAAAUUUGUGUUUAUUUUGCUGGGUUUUUUGUUGUUUUUAAUUUUAAAAAAUAUAUGAAAGAAACUUUCUACUGCAGCACAGCAAUUUUUACCUGUAUUGUAUCAUGGCUUUUUUUUAUUUAAGUUAAAUUUGGACACAUUCGUUGACUUCCUGCCUCAGAUAGGUCAGCUGGUACCAGUGGUAUUUUUUUCUUUCAAAAGCAGAUUAUUGUUUAAUUUACUUGGUAGUUAUAGUCUCCAACAGCAAAAAUAUUUGCUCAUGUAGUUAAUACCAGUCUAUUAUACCAGUAUAUAUAGAUUAAUGAUAUAUGAAACUG